rnacentral:rRNA from 1 species
CAGCCGCCGCGGUAAAACGUAGGUGGCAAGCGUUGUCCGGAAUUAUUGGGCGUAAAGGGCUCGCAGGCGGUUUCUUAAGUCUGAUGUGAAAGCCCCCGGCUCAACCGGGGAGGGUCAUUGGAAACUGGGAAACUUGAGUGCAGAAGAGGAGAGUGGAAUUCCACGUGUAGCGGUGAAAUGCGUAGAGACGUGGAGGAACACCAGUGGCGAAGGCGACUCUCUGGUCUGUAACUGACGCUGAGGAGCGAAAGCGUGGGGAGCAAACAGGAUUAGAUACCCCCGUAGUCCCUGUCUCUUAUAC